rnacentral:rRNA from 1 species
UAAUACAGAGGUCUCAAGCGUUGUUCGGAUUUACUGGGCGUAAAGGGUGCGUAGGCGGCAGGGUAAGUUAGAUGUGAAAUGCCGAAGCUUAACUUCGGCACCGCAUUUGAUACUGCUCUGCUUGAGCACUAGAGAGGAGACUGGAAUUUACGGUGUAGCAGUGAAAUGCGUAGAUAUCGUAAGGAAGACCAGUGGCGAAGGCGAGUCUCUGGAUAGUUGCUGACGCUGAGGCACGAAGGCCAGGGGAGCAAACGGGAUUGGAUACCCCGGUAGUCCUGGCAGUAAACAGUGCGCGUUUGGUGUGAAGGGGUUCGACCCCCUUUGUGCCGGAGCCAACGCGUUAAACGCGCCGCCUGGGGAAUACGGUCGCAAGACU